rnacentral:rRNA from 1 species
CAUCCUUGUCAAAGGCUGAUCUCUCAAAAGCUGAGCAGCACCGGGCCUGGUCAGUACUUGGAUGGGAGACUGCUGGAAAUCCCAGGGGCCACAGGGGGGC